rnacentral:rRNA from 1 species
AUUGGGACUGAGACACGGCCCAAACUCCUACGGGAGGCAGCAGUAGGGAAUUUUCGUCAAUGGGGGGAACCCUGAACGAGCAAUGCCGCGUGAGUGAGGAAGGUCUUCGGAUCGUAAAGCUCUGUUGUAAGAGAAAAACGGCACUCAUAGGGAAUGAUGAGUGAGUGAUGGUAUCUUACCAGAAAGUCACGGCUAACUACGUGCCAGCAGCCGCGGUAAUACGUAGGUGGCGAGCGUUAUCCGGAAUGAUUGGGCGUAAAGGGUGCGUAGGUGGCAGAUCAAGUCUGGAGUAAAAGGUAUGGGCUCAACCCGUACUGGCUCUGGAAACUGAUCAGCUAGAGAACAGAAGAGGACGGCGGAACUCCAUGUGUAGCGGUAAAAUGCGUAGAUAUAUGGAAGAACACCGGUGGCGAAGGCGGCCGUCUGGUCUGGAUUCUGACACUGAAGCACGAAAGCGUGGGGAGCAAAUAGGAUUAGAUACCCUAGUAGUCCACGCCGUAAACGAUGAGAACUAGGUGUUGGGGGAAUAACUCAGUGCCGCAGUUAACGCAGUAAGUUCUCCGCCUGGGGAGUAUGCACGCAAGUGUGAAACUCAAAGGAAUUGACGGGGGCCCGCACAAGCGGUGGAGUAUGUGGUUUAAUUCGAAGCAACGCGAAGAACCUUACCAGGCCUUGACAUCCCUUGCAGAGGUAUAGAGAUAUAUCCGAGGUUAACAAGGAGACAGGUGGUGCAUGGUUGUCGUCAGCUCGUGUCGUGAGAUGUUGGGUUAAGUCCCGCAACGAGCGCAACCCUUGUGAUAUGUUACUAACAUUGAGUUGAGGACUCAUAUCAGACUGCCGGUGAUAAACCGGAGGAAGGUGGGGAUGACGUCAAAUCAUCAUGCCCCUUAUGGCCUGGGCUACACACGUACUACAAUGGCGUCUACAAAGAGCGGCAAGCCUGUGAAGGCAAGCGAAUCUCAUAAAGGACGUCUCAGUUCGGAUUGAAGUCUGCAACCCGACUUCAUGAAGCUGGAAUCGCUAGUAAUCGCGAAUCAGCAUGUCGCGGUGAAUACGUUCUCGGGCCUUGUACACACCGCCCGUCAAACCAUGGGAGUUGGUAAUGCCCGAAGCCGGUGGCAUAACCCUUCGGGGAGUGAGCCGUCGAAGGCAGGACCGAUGACUGGGGUUAAGUCGUAACAAGGUAUCCCUACGGGAACGUGGGGAUG